GGACAGGGGGGCGGUCGCGCCCGGGAGCCGAACCUCCCGGGUGAGGAAAGUCCGGGCACCAAAGGGCAGGGUGCCAGCUAACGGCUGGGCGGGGUAACCCGACGGAAAGUGCCACAGAGAAAAGACCGCCAGCGGCCAGGCCAAGGCCUGGUGCGGGCAAGGGUGAAACGGUGGGGUAAGAGCCCACCGCGCCUCCUGGAAACAGGGGCGGCACGGCAAACCCCACCCGGUGCAAGGCCCAGUAGAGGGGAAGGGCUUGCCCGGCCCGCCACAACCCCUGGGAUGGGCCGCUUGAGGCCGGCGGCGACGCCGGCCCCAGAGAGAUGUGUCAUGCGUCAUGCUUUAGGUCAGUAAGCGCUCACGCUCUAGGUCAGUUU
rnacentral:RNase_P_RNA from 1 species